AACUGCUUCUGGAGAGCAACAACUUGGUCUCCGAGAAGGAGGCGUAAUGUCAAGUUACCCUCUUUAGUUCAGAGCAAACAGAAGGCGGGAGAGCGCUACUCAAGCAUGCGUCAGAUGGAAAGCAGUGGCCGAGCGGCUGUGCAAACAUACAGCACAAAGAAGGGAAGAAGGGAGGCUCACGACGGCCCAAAGAUGAGAAGGUAAGUGACAAGGUGGCACAAGAGGGACCGCACACCUAAAGAAACAGGCGGUGAACAAUGACUCUAAAUAUGAAACAUGUCGCAUACCGGUAAGCAGCAUGUUACCAAGCAGACGUGAUUAAUGAAAACCUGGACCAUGUGGAAACAGUCGUGUGAGUUUGCUAGGCCUGCCGUAACAAAGACCCCAACUGAGUGGCUUUAAACAGCAGAAGUGUAUUCUCUCACGGUCCAGAGCCCGGGGCUUCGGAAUCAAGACUUUGACGGGGUUGGUUCCUUCCGGAGGUCCUGAGGGAGGAGUUGCUCCAGCCUCUCUCCUAGUUUCUGGUGGUUGCCAGCAGCCGUUGGCUUUCCACGGCUUGUAAACGUACCACUCCAAUCUCUGCUUCUGUCUUCACGUGGCUUUCUUUCCUCUGUGUGGCUGUGUCAAAAUUUCCCUCUUCUCAUAAGGACACUAGUCACUGGAUUAGGACCCACUGUAAUCCAAUAUGACCUCAUUUUAACUUUAUCACAUCUGCAAAGACCCUAUUUCCAAUUACAGGCAUAUUUUUUGGUUUUUGUGCUUUGCUUUAUGGCAUACUGCUUUUUUUUUUUUUUUUUUUUUGGUGAGGAAGAUUGUCUUGAGCUAACAUCUGUGCCAAUCUUCUUCUAUUUUAUGUGGGACGCCACCACAGCGUGGCUUUUUAAGCAGUGCUAGGUCCACACCUGGGAUCCAAACCUGCAAAGCCUGGGCCACCAAAGCAGAGUAUGCGAACUUCACCACUAUGCCACCAGGCCGGCUCCCAGAUACUGCAUUUUUUACAAGACCCUCCACCAGCAAAAAGAUUACUACUCACUGAAGGCUCAAAUGAUAGGUAGCAUUUUUUAGCAAUAAAGUAUUUUUUAAUUAAAGUGUGUGCAUUGUUUUUCAGACAUAAUGCUAUUGCACACUUAAUAUACCAUGGUAGAGUGUAAACAUAACUUUUAUAUGCACUGGGAAACCAAAAAAUAUUUGUGUGACUCAUCUAUUGAUAUUUGCUUUCCUGCAGUGGUUUGGAACUGAACCGGCAAUCUCUCAAAGGUUUGCUUGUAAAGUCACACUCACAGGCACCAGGGGUUAGGACUUGAACAUAUCUUUAUGGGUGACUCGAUUCAAACAACAAUAACUAUAUAACAAUAAAAUGAAGAGGAAAAGAAGAGGAAACGGAAGCAAGAGAAUUUUUGCUUGCUUCUCUUUGAAAUGGAAAGCGUAUGAGAUGCCAGUGUCUUCAUCUUUAUCUGGAAGGAGACAAUCGCUGUGUUCUCAGAUCAAGACAUGCGGUAUAGCAGACAGAGUGUGUGUGUGUGUGUGUGUGUGUGUGUGUACAGAGAGAGCAUCCCAACCUGCUAAUUCUGUAAUGUCUUGUUCUUAGAGAAAUAAUCUUUUUUGUGGUAAAGAAACAUUUAUUUAAGUUUUGACAACUUCAGUUUAUUUUUGUUCUAUGAAAUAAGUAAAAUUUAAAUGUAAUGAUAUUUUUUCUUUUAAAGACUCCAGUACCCAUUUAGGAGGUUGCUCAUUAAGCAGUUCUGACGCUGACUUCCUCCCUGACAGCCGUCAAGGAUCAUAAAGUGUGCGAAUAAGGCAGAGCCUCGGUUAGAUUUGAAGCUCCAGCAGCCAGCAGCGUGCUUUGUCCAUAGUUGCUGCUUAAUAAAUGUGUGUUAAAUUGGAUCAUUUUGUUGCUAAUUAUGCAGAGUGUUGUACCAGAUAACAUACAACAAAAGCAGGGCCGACAGGCCUCUGGAAUCUUCACUCGUGGAGGUACAAGGUGUCCCAUUUUUAAGGACUAUAUCUUCCAUUUCUCUUUUGCACCCACAGUCCAACUCUGGGAGAUUAAUUCAGACAUAGCCGAAGGGGAGAGGGCACAGCUGUCCUCAGAUGGGCUGCCUGUACUGAAAGGGAGAUCGAGUCCUUCUUUCUGUCUGGAACGUGGUUAGUGCUCCCUGCUCUAAAGUCAUGUUCUCUGGCCCCACAGUAAUUUCCUUCCUGGACAGCAGAUUCUGCUGGUGAAAAGCCCCGGCUGAGAUCCACCGGCUCCUCGGGCUCAGCCCCUUCCCGGCAGAGGGCAUGCUGGCUGCUGACGAAUGGAGCCUGGUUCAGGAAUGAGCAGAUGCUGCUGCUGACAGGUGCUGCCAGGCGUGCUGGGACAUCCACUGAGCACCAUCGGCCUUGCACUUCCGCGGUCCUGCGGCCCCCCAACGUCAGCUCUCCUCCAACCCGUGUGGAAGGUGACAGAGAGCAGCUCAGGGUUUAGUGAAAACACCCUGCCAGGAUGGAACUGGCUUUCGCUGUUAUUAACAGGCUCUGGAGAAGGAAAACCAGGGCUAAAUGCCUGUCGCCUCUUUAUCUGCAUCUAUAUAGCUCGAAGAUCCCUCUCUUUCACCCUGCCUAGCCCUCUCUCGCUCUCGUUUGCACCCGGGUGCAAUCAAUAUUCCGCUCGAUCACAGAUUCCAGACCUGCCAGGCUGGGAUGGCGGUUCCUGUGCUGACUCAUCCACUCAGCCUGUCACCAUCACGUGCUCCCUCUGCCAGAAAGGCCACGUGGUGGGAUCUCCAGCUCUGGCUCAUCGUUGCUCCAAUCAGUUUCCUUUUCCCUUUUCCCCAGAAUGUUAUUUGAGUCCUCUUCUGUCCCCUGUCGCCCUGGGAGUCCCAGAGAGGCAUUAACAUAGGCUUGGGUUUUGCAGGACACUGAUGGAAGGUGGGCACGGAAUAGCAUUGUUCCCUGCCAGCAUCAAGAAGCAGCCACUAAACAGAGGGAAGCACAAACGCUGGUGACCAAGGGCGAGGUCUGGAGCUAAUAACACACUGUAAAUAGCAGCCCGCCCCCCAGGAUGAUAUUUUCUGUUCCCAGGUUUGGCUUGAUUUCCUAAUUUUACAAGCUAACUAUGAAGAAUUUGGCAGGGGGGAGGGGGAGUGGAGAAAAUUAAAUACUCAUUUAAAUUCUUUCCUAGCUGUCGAGUGAUGGAGGUUUCCAGCUGGCUGGACCUCAGAGAUCGCUGCGUUCAACAUCCUGUCUCCACAGAGGAGACACAAGGACACUGAGAUAGGCUGUGGCUUCCCCGAGGUCACACGGCUGGGCAGGGUCCUGGGUCCGGUCCAGGGAUAUUUCCUCGCCUCCUUUAAGUGUAAUCUCUUUGUGUGCUACUGUCCAAAUUGUUUAUUCUGCAAGUGUUUUACUCUGCAAAGGCUGCUUUGGACCCGUGGACCGACAGGGAUGCUGGCAGAGAGACCGGCAGGGGGAAGCGUGCUUCUACACAGUGGUGAUGGGAGGUCACCCUGCAGCCAGGGGUACUCGGGGAGAGUUCAGUGGCAGAGGACAGACAGAGGCUUCACACUGGAGAUUUUGAAGAAGGAAAAUGGUGCUUGGCUCCCGUUAAUUCCACUCCCCUGGUUUGCAACAAAGGAGACGCUGGCUCACAAACUAAGGAGGGAAAGGGGGACCAUCAGGGCUUACCAAGCCGAACUGCCACUCCAGGGUAAGUCAGCCCAGGGUCCCCUUAAAGGGGAAUGUGGGUAGGCUGCUUUGAUGGGAUUGUGGGCAGGAAGUAAUAAUUUGAGGGAGGAAAGAGAAGACACCCUAGGUACCGUCUUUAAGGCUGUGAGAUCACGGGCUCGUAGACCUCAGAGCUGAGUCACCUCCGAGGCCAUCUGCCCAUUCACGUAUCCUGUGCAAGACUCUACUCAGUCAGCCUUCUUUGAAGAAUUCCAUGUACCCACGUACAAGAGAGAGCCUCUCCUUUCGGAUUAUCCCUUCUAUUUGGGGGGGCUCUAAUUGUUAAAACGUUCAUGGUUAUAUGGUAUCAGAAUGGGCCCCACUGUAUCUACAAGCCGUUAUUCUAAUCCUUCCAUAUGAUCCUCGGAAGUCUGAUGAUUACACCUUUGUAACACAUUUGAGAGUCUAUGCCUGCUUGGGGUGGGGGAGGACGGUGGAGGGGGAGCUCCCACACCAUCCAGUUGUAUAACCUUGGCAAUUACAGAUAACCAGCAAGCAAGCCAGUGAUUUAUUCAGUUAAAGGUUAUCAAAGACUAAAUCUAAAAAUCGUAUUUUCAUUUCAUAAGUCUAUUUGAAUUUAUAAAUCCUGAAUUUUGCAGCAAGGAAACAAGCUCAGCCAACUUUCAAAUGCUACCAUUGGAAAUAUUACAAUAACUCUGAAGUUUCUGCCAAGACAUACUGCCACCUUCGGUGAUGACGGUCAUUCCGUCACCAAGCCCAGGACCUUGGCGCUUCCUAUGCCUCCCUCUCUUCCACCAGGGUCGAGUUUGCUAGAUGCUGAGACCCUGCCCUAGCUUCCUUCCACCUCACCAUGGCCUCCAACCACUCCCCCGGUCCAGGCUUUGCUCCCCACAGCACAGAGUCCCAAUGCCCAAGCUGCCAGGUUGGCAUCAUCAGGCCAGGGGCCCUCACCAGCCUGCCCUGCGCCUUAGUGGCAGUCUGGCGGCAGCCAUCCUCCUGCACUGGUGGUGCCCUGAGAUUCUCUUCUCUAUUUCAGGGUGAGUCCCUCCAAGGGCCGCCUCCCAUCUUGAUCCAUAGCCCCCCCAGGGGGGCCCCACCAUGUCAUUGAGGCUGCUUCUCCUGCACCCAGCACAGUGCCUGGCCUGGAGGAAGCACUUGGCACACACUUCUGAAGGAAGAAGUGUCCCCUUGUCGGCCGAGGCAGCUCAGAUCCCACCAGGCCCUGAGGAGCCACCCGAGAGCCUCUCCACCCUUCUCCCUCUCUGCGCCUUGGGCAGGGGCAGGCCACGGGGGCAAACAGCGCUCUCCAUCCUUCUCCUGCUCAAAAACAGCCGCUCUGCUCUCCUCAGGCUGGCCAGACGUUCCCACCACAGCCCUGCUCGUGAUAAUAUAUCCCAUACAUUGUGCAUAGUACACAGUACACUAGUUUUAACAUAAGAUUCAAUUUUAUACGUUAUACAUUCAUACAUUAACUUAUAUAGUAUAUAAAAGUUCAAUAUUUAAUAUAUAAUAUUUAAUAAUAAAU
ensembl:lncRNA